GUGUCAGCAGCCGCGGUAAAACGUAGGAGGCGAGCGUUAUCCGGAUUUACUGGGUGUAAAGCGCGUGCAGGCGGCUCGUUAAGUUGGGUGUGAAAGCUCCUGGCUCAACUGGGAGAGGUCGCUCAAGACUGGCGGGCUAGAGAGUGGUAGAGGAAGGUGGAAUUCCGGGUGUAGUGGUGAAAUGCGUAGAUAUCCGGAGGAACACCAGUGGCGAAAGCGGCCUUCUGGGCCACAUCUGACGCUCAGACGCGAAAGCUAGGGUAGCAAACGGGAUUAGAUACCCCCGUAGUCC
rnacentral:rRNA from 1 species